CCUACGGGUGGCAGCAGUCGAGAAUCUUCGGCAAUGGGCGCAAGCCUGACCGAGCGACGCCGCGUGCGAGAUGAAGGCCUUCGGGUUGUAAAUCGCUGUCAGAGGGGAGGAAAUGCCGGUGGGUUCUCCCAUCGGUUUGACCUAUCCUCAGAGGAAGGACGGGCUAAGUUCGUGCCAGCAGCCGCGGUAAGACGAACCGUCCAAACGUUAUUCGGAAACACUGGGCUUAAAGGUCCGGUAGGCGGGGCGGGAAAGCCCUCAGCUCAACUGAGGAAUUGCGCCCAAAACUGCCGGACUUGAGGGAGACAUAGGUGAGCGGAACUUAGGGUGGAGCGGUGAAAUGCGUUGAGAUCCUAAGGAACACCAGUAGCGAAAGCGGCUCACUGGGUCUCUUCUGACGCUGAUGCACGAAAGCUAGGGGAGCGAAGAGGAUUAGAUACCCUGGUAGUC
rnacentral:rRNA from 1 species